rnacentral:lncRNA from 1 species
UUGCAUCGACGAAAACCUUUUAAAGAAUUUGCUUUUGGUUUUUGAGAACCUUGCUGGAUUCCUUUUGUGCUUUUGCUGCAGCCAGAAGGUGUUGGACGAUGUGGUUUCCAUACCUUCCAACUUUGAAAUCAAAAACAAGGGUUCAGUUUGACUAUACGCCGUUGAUCUGAUAGCCGUCGGCUCUUAUCUCUCUCCGGCACGCAUGUUAGGACCUCGCGACUUGGGACUUGUGGUUUCUUUCAUAAAAGAAAGCUUAGGUAUUGUCCGCUUGUACAACGCUGAAAAGUUCCUGGCCA